UAAAUUCCCUAAACUACUUAGAGAGGAAUGAGAGACUUACCAUGGUGAGAGGAAAUAGAGAGGCUAUAGAGAGGAAAUAGAGAGGAAAUGAAGAGGGCAUGCGGUUUCGCCUAUAUAUAGGAUUACGGUUCGUCGAAGAUUAAUCGCAAAAUAACGAGGAAAGACAGAGGCCCGUCUUUCGUUUCGUCGCAAGGCCCACGCAAAUUAACGAGGAAAUACAGAGGCCCGUCUUUUAUUUUACGUCGUUCUUGCGACGAUUUUUGUUUUUAUCAUCGAUUUUACGUGCAAAUGGCGAGGCUUUUUUUGCUAACCCCUAAAAUCUUAAACCCCAAACC
rnacentral:lncRNA from 1 species